rnacentral:lncRNA from 1 species
CACACACCACUGCUCCUAUGCCCUAUAUCCCAGCAGACCCCAGGUAAGUUGUCAAAUUGUUCUUAAAUGGUAUGACUACUUACUCUGGGGUGGGAUCCUGGCACUACUGGCACCAUAACUACUACACUGAGCUGUAGUGGUUAUUGUGCCAGGAUUAUUUAUUUAAAUGAUCUACAAGUGCCCCUCCCGAGAUCAGGCUCUGGAUCCGCCACUG